rnacentral:rRNA from 1 species
CCUACGGGAGGCAGCAGUGAGGAAUAUUGGUCAAUGGACGAGAGUCUGAACCCGCCAAGUAGCGUGAAGGAUGACUGCCUAUGGGUUGUAAACUUCUUUUAUAUGGGAAUAAAACAGGGUAUGCAUACCCUCUUGUCUGUACCAUAUGACUAAGGAUCGGCUAACUCCGUGCCCGCAGCCGCGGUAAUACGGAGGAUCCGAGCGUUAUCCGGAUUUAUUGGGUUUAAAGGGAGCGUAGGUGGAUUGUUAAGUCAGUUGUGAAAGUUUGCGGCUCAACCGUAAAAUUGCAGUUGAAACUGGCAGUCUUGAGUACAGUAGAGGUGGGCGGAAUUCGUGGUGUAGCGGUGAAAUGCUUAGAUAUCACGAAGAACUCCGAGUGCGAAGGCAGCUCACUGGACUGCAACUGACACUGAUGCUCGAAAGUGUGGGUAUCAAACAGGAUUAGAUACCCGUGUAGUC